AACCCUUGAUGAGGGAACCUUCUCAAAAGAUCCUUAAAUCUCUCUCAUGCAUCAUAUAAUGUCUCCAAAUCAAUUUGAGAAAAAAAAAAGAGAUGUCAAUCCUCAACUU
rfam:Gossypium arboreum cultivar AKA8401 contig_81497_5, whole genome shotgun sequence.